GUUGCAUCAGCUAGCAACUGAAUCUGCCUGCCUGCAAUCCAUCUCCUAGGUGAACAACUGAAUCUGCCUGCCUCCAGUUGGGUGAAUACUAGACUACAAUGAACACAGAACAUAGAAUAACAGAGUUAGAAUGGACAUUGGAGGUCUUCUAGUCCAACCCCCAGCUCGAGCAGGAGACUCUUAUAUCAUUUCAGACAAAUUGCUGUCCAGUCUCUUCUUAAAAGCCUCUAGUGAUGGAACACCCACAACUUCUGAAGGAUGAUUCAAGGACACCUAUUGAUGGGCUCUUCUAGCUGCAUCCUCCUUCUCACCCAGGAUGACCUGCAGGUUGCAAUGAAACUGCUGCUCUUGGUUCCGGAGGAAACUUUGCCUGCAUCAUAGAGAUCUGAUUGGGGGGAAAUGGGGCAUUCCUCCACUGCGCAUUUCCACAGGGCAUGGAACAUGAGAUUUC